GGCUAAUGAGUUCUAAAGAAAAGAAUGAUGACUCCCUCUCAACAAAAAGGUCUGCUGAGAUGAAACUUAGACGACGUGAAAUGGAUAGACUGGUUUCUGCAGAAAAGAGAGAGGCACAAUUACUACAACGUCAAACAAACAGUCAGGAGCUAAAAAGAAAUAUUAUAUCUGCAACAUCAGCUUUUCAUGUGCAAGAUCAUCCUGCUGCAAGUGUACAAGGCUGCUGCUCCACCUCUCAGAAUCCUCAUCAAAUGGACUUUUCUACUAUUCCCGCAGCAAAAGGUCAUGUCAAAAAACUUUUCUUAUUAACUUGGAAUUUAUACAUGUGGUGAUGAUGGAAUGACAAUAGAUAUUUAUAUUUGCAGGGUAUUUUUGAAGGAAAAACGUAAUGAAGAAUGUACAUAUUCUGUUUGGAAUUAAGCUGUAAGAUAGUCAUGUUAUGACUUAUUGAGUUCAUUACUUAAUUGAUGUAAGAUGGUACACUGCUGCUAACAAGAGAUAGAAGACACACAUAGAUACAUAUUAAUUAGGCGUCAUCACCUACAUUGACUCCUCCAAGUCAGAGUAAAAUUCUAGAAUCAUCAAAUCUGAAAAGCUUUGUUGGAAUUCAGGGUUUGAUUCUUUAGCAUCAUCAUUCUCUCUUUGAUCUGCUUUUACUAAAUUAUUUUCGAAUUUGUCAUUUACUUUUUAAAUUUUGUUUCUAUUAUGUGAAAUAGCUAUGAAAAUUGUUUAAUUAGCAUACACCUACUUUAAAAGUACUAAAAUUUAUGCUUAGAUAAUGUUAUGCAAUUUCAUAGUUUGUUGUCCAAUUUGAGAAAUGAAUUUUGAUUCACACUUGCACUACAUAAGGUGCAUGCAUUAUGAAAUAUUUAGGUAAUUCAGUAGUUCAAUCAUUGAAGAUGAUUUCAAGCAUAAUGUUAGCGUAAUUAAUUAGUUGUGCCUCUCUGAUUACUUGUAGCUCAAUUUAAUACUACCCAAUUUAAGGUUUCCAGUAAGAAACUUGAAUUGAACUUUAAACUCUGCUUCUUUUGGUGAUCAUUGAAGAUGAUUUCAAGCAUAAUGUUAGCGUAAUUAAUUAGUUGUGCCUCUCUGAUUACUUGUAGCUCAAUUUAAUACUACCCAAUUUAAGGUUUCCAGUAAAAAACUUGAAUUGAACUUUAAAUUCUGCUUCUUUUGGUAUUUCUGUCAUUGAACUCAAUUUCAGGUUCAUCUUUUCAUCUGAUUUAGUUUUGAGGAGUCAGUUGGUUGAAUUUGUUAAAGAUACAUCAUUUUGCCAUAACGUAGUUAACUAAUCAUGCUUCCUAUAAUUCUUGAUUUUGAUAAGUUGAUUAACUAUUUUCUCGGUAAACUUUAACUACAUACAAUUACCUCACUUUGCUCAAGCUAAUCAGGCUUCAUGCCAGGAAUAGAAGAACAUCUUGAAUUAACAGAAUUACAAUGCAAAACUGCUCCAGAGUAUAUGUGGUAAUAUACAAUUGCAAUUCACACCUAAUUAUUAUUAUGCUUCGUCAAAAAAGUUGUCUACCUUUAAUCGUUUCUGUUUCUCUUCAUUUUAAUCAAUUCAAAAUUAUUAGUCUCAUUUAUUUUCUUCUCUUAUAUAUACUUGUUAUAUAUACUUGCAUGUAGAUCUAACGCGUGUAUUCCCUUCAAAUCACGCUUUCAUCUUGGAUUUGAAAAGCAACAAACUCAUCAAAGACCCCUUCACCAUUUUCUCUGUUCCUUUUCGUCUCAUUUAUUCUUCUUCAAUUAUAACUGAUCUUUCUUGCUGAAACCUUUGCUUGAGCAGUAGAAAAUUUGGGGAAAAUUGGAAGCUUCCUCAGCUGUUUAACUUCAACUUUGCUCAGGUUAGUACUUUUUAGUCUCAUUUUGUUUGAUGCGAUAUCAGUUUCAUAACUCUUACAAGCUGAAAUGUUGCAUCUUUGUCCAGUAAACUCCAUUGUUUGACAACUUUUUUCCCUUUCUAGUUUUCUAUUUCAGCUAAGAUUUCUUCAUGUCUUUUUGGUUUCAUAUUGUAGUAUUUUGACUCUAGUAUAAUUACAAUCUCUUUAGUAUUAGUAUUAAUGUGUUGUGGCGUGGAGCUUCUGGAUUUAUCUCGUAUAUAGUUAUCAUUUUGAUUAAGUUAUCUGAACAUAAUUAUCACUUGAUUUCUUUGUUCAUCGUGAUUGAAUGAGUUUGUGUUGUAGCUGCCUUAGAAUUAGAUUUUGUUUUCUGUGGUUCAGCUACUGUUUAUCCCUGCUCUCUCUCUCUUUAUUUGAAGUUGUGAAAAAAUGCUAAAAAUCCCUCUCUUAUUCAUGUCUAAAAUGUCUGCAAAACAGUGGCAUACUUUGUUAAUUUUGUUUACUGCUUUGCUCAUGUUCAAAAUGUUCAGUUUCAUUCCAUUAAUAUAUGUGUCUACUACUGCCCUUUUCUUAGUGGUAUGAGACAUUGAUUCUGCAUUGUCAUUGUUUGUGGACUGCUAUGUGUUAGGAAGGAAAUUUGUUUUUGAAGGUGGUGGUUUACUUCAUUUUAAACUAGUUUUCGCCUUACUCCUUACUUUUUGAAUUUAGUUCUUGUUACCCUCAUAUAUGAAAUUUCAUAUUGCAUUUUAGACUUAAUAAUAUCAACUCCAAUAGUCUACUUCGUUUUUUGAUUGAUAAUCGCUUCCUUGUCAUUAUCUUUGUCUAAGUAAUUAUGUCCCAAAUCCACCUGAUUAAUUCACUCCCUCAACACCUGAUUGAAGACAUACGAGUCUACCAGAGCAUCUUCAGCUAUCUGUAAUAGGACAGUAAAGAAAACGGUGCUUGUUGCGUCUCUUCCCCCAUAAUACCUCUUCUCUAUAGGUUGUCGUGGGCUUAAAAGACAUGUUUUUCGCAACCAGCCAUCGACAGCUUGUUAACAUAGACACCUGCAUUUUAGUUUGGGGCUGGCUAUUUUAUUGAUUCACACCUCAGUAUUUGAACUGUAUUUUAGUUUGAAAAGUGCUAAACAAGACUUGUUAUGUGGAUGGGUAAUGAGACGUGAUGGUUUUCAACUCACUUCAUUAUGUAGCUUAUAAUUCACUAUAUAUACAUGGUUUAUGCAAGUUUAUCCAUCAAUUCUCAGUGUUAGUUGUUGACUCCAUCACUUUUAUCACUUAAAUGUAUGGCCUCACAUUUUUAACCUUACCAAUUGUUAUCUCUGUUGCCUUUGAAAUGCACUUUGGUUACAACUUAUGGGACCUCUAAGAAUAUCUUGAAUUUUUUCUCCUGCUGUCUUGUUCUUUGGUCUGAAGUGGACUACAAAAUUCUGAAAGUUUUUUUGCCGUUAAAUUUUAAUUUGUAAACUGUAAUCUGCAAUCUACAAUUUGGAACCUGCAAUCUUGAACUGUAUUCUGCAAUCUGGAAUCUGGAACUAUAAUCUGUAAUCUGCAAUAAUCUGGAAUUUGGAACUGUAAUUUGUAAUCUGCAAUCUGGAACCUGCAAUCUUGAACUGCAAUCUGAAAUCUGGAACCUGUAAUUUGGAACUCAUGUAAUCUGUAAUCUGCAAUAAUUUGGACUUUGGAACUGUAAUCUGGAACUCAAAAAAUCUGCAGUCUGCAAUCUGCAAUCUGGAACUGCUGCAAUCGGGAAUCUGGAACUUCUUGCCUCUUCUAUAACGUACUGCUGCAAUCUGAUUUGUUGUACUUUUAAAUGUGUAGGGAAAUGAAGGUGAUCAGAUUUGAAGGGUCGCCACAAGUCAAUUUGAUCUCAUUGAAGUUGAUGAAUAGUUUUUGAACUAUUGUAAAAGUUUGAAUACAUUAUGUUUGAUUUUGUGAAAUAUAUUCAUUGCUAGAAUAUAUUGAACUAUUGUAAGAGUACUUUCUGAACUAUUGUGUACACAUAUUUAGAAUAUUGAUUUAUAAGUAUGUGUAUGUGUACACAAGAUAUACUAUCUUUUGAAGUUUAUUGCAAAUCUAUAUAUUUGAAUUACUUAUGAGCCAAUUUAAUGCUUGAGAUUAUUUAUUGCAAAAUAAUAUUGGUGUUUUUUCAUUAGUUAAUUAGAAAUUGUGGCAUAUAAAUAUUUUAUAGCCAAAAUGAUAUGGCCACACUUAAAAGUGUAGCCAUAGGGCUAUAAAUUGUGGUAUGCACGUGGUCAAGGACUACACUUCAAAAUGUUGUCAUACACUAGAUGGAAAAGGCAACACUUUAAAAUCGUUGUCAUACAUUAAAUAGAAAAGGCAAAACUUUAAAAUCGUGGUCAAUAAGGAAGAAAAGGCCACACUUGAAAGUGUAGUUGUAUGAGAUAGAAAUGUUGCUAUUUGAGGUACAUAGAAGCGUUGCCAUUUAGCCUUUUAGGCUACGCUUUUAAGCGUAGCUGAUAAGGAAACACUUUUCAAGUGCUGCCUAAACUCUAAGGUAACGCUACUUUCGGGCACCCCUGGAAAAGUGUUGCUUAAAGUCCAAAAGUGUAGCCUUUUAUCAAAGGCCACACUUUUUGCUAGUUUAGGCAACAUCUUACUGGGGUGGCCGUAGGCCUAAAAUGGUGUAGUGUGACUUGAACGAAUUAUUUUUAGUUUUUUUUGGAACUCAAGGUGCAACAUCUAGUGACCUUAACACUCAAGAAAUUUUAAAUUCCUCAGUAAAAUCCUACUCACAAUGAAGGAUGGUUCGAGUAUUAGUUCAAAAAAAUUCUAGGGUGUUACAAUAUCUCCCCCUUAGGAUCAUUCGUCCUCGAAUGACGGCUGGACUGGUUAUGGAAUGGGUCUACUCUUAUUAUUUCUGCCAUUCCAACUAGAAUUGCCCGCAUUACUCUUCGAGACCAACUAAGGGCUUUAAUUUAGCUAUUUCUCAUAGCAAAACCUCAUCCUCCUCUUCCUUCACAUUUAUAACUUUAGAUGAAUUAAACACACCAUCACUAUCACGAUAAGAUCAUUAACCUUCCCUUUCUAACAUCACUACAUUACUAAAUGGACCUCUAAAAAGAUAUCCCCCAAACUCUUUGGAACUCAUUACUAACUUAUUCUCAAACACUUGACUUGAUUUCUCAUCUUGCCAUCUCCCCUUUAGGUCUAAAGCUAACACUUGAAAGUUAUGGACCUAUUCCAUCAUAUAUAAACUGGUCUACAUCCUCUUUUACUCUAACAAUCAGGAGAAGUUUAUCUCAUGCCUAUCGAACUCUCCAUAAGCAGGUACUAAGACCUCUCUCUAACGUGUUCCUCUUAACCUCUUCUGAUUACAUACCAUCUCGAUACACCUCUUAAUGCUCUUGUAACUCUUGUGACUUAGCCACACUUCAUUUCCCUUAUCUAAAGGUUAGGGUCUCUCACUUGUACCACUCAUAUUUAUUGCAGCUAACAUCUCAAUUUCUCACCUGCUCUAUGUUAAGUCUUCUAGAUCAAAUCCCAAGACUAACAUCAUCACUCUCAUGUUGCCAAUUUUUUGGUUAUGACACUUAUCUCAAAUUCAAGCUUAAUGUUUAUUACUAAACCUGAAUAUCAAUAUGAUUACUCGCCUACUAUACUAACUCGCCACUACUAUGCACAAUUUUAGAAACACUCGUUCACUAGGACCUUAUGACAAGUACUCAAUCCUUAUAUCUCUGUCUACAUACUCACAAAUUACCAUCACAUUCCACUUCACAACUUAAGUACUACUUACUCACUUACUGCGCAUUAUCUCUCAAAUAGUUCUAUCAUCCUCUAAAUAUCAUAGGGUUCUCCUUUCAAAAUUUAUAAGCCUAGCUUGGGUCUAUCACUUCAUUAGUACUCUACUAUUUGAUUCCACACCUAUAUUUAGUAUCCUCUAACACGAUGACACAUCGACCUCAACUCUUAUUCUGGUUAACAAUAUAACUUAUAUUGACUAGUAACUAUUCCUCUUUCUUCUAUCAAGAACUCUCUACAACCUUAUUAUUCUUUUUUUCUACUCAUAAAGGAACUCAUCACUUAUAAUUUACUAGGUACACGGUUGCAAUAACAUAAUUUGUCUCAUCACUAUCUCAUUCUCUUAGAUAAUUGAACCUCUGCAUACUUUCCUCUAAUUUUGGGUACUUUCACUACUACUGCUCAUGAUCUCGUAACUUAUGUUACCUUUUCGGGCAAAAAUACUACACAAGCUCUAAUCAGACUUCCUCAUAAGGAUCUUAGUUAUAACAAGGCUUAAGGAAAAGAGUACAACUCGCUUUUAGCUCAAACGCACGAUUCAUAUAAUUAUGGGUACAUUCCUCUAAAACUCAACACUUAACUCACUCAUGGGCUUCUCUCAAGCCCUUCUGGAGUCUCAUGACUUCCUCAAGACUCUUGUUAAGAAUAACUCAUCGAUAAAGGACUGGCUUUUCUAUUCAACCACCUCUAGUAUGAGGGGUAGUCGAAUGAAUCUGAGAAACGCACGAGUAUGAAUAAUCUCUAUGACUUAGCUCUAUUGAACGAUUAAGAGUAUGAAAGAAGGAAAACUUUUCUUAAAUGUCUGCAGUCCCUAAUUUAAAGAAGUGGAGCCCUCACAACCAUAAACAAGAUUGUACCGUCACAUCUUCAUAGACACCCUAGGACACCUGAACUCUGUGCUCUGAUACCAAGUUUUUCACGUAUCCGAGUCUACACCCUGGACGUGGCCGACACUCGAGAACCAUUGUCGAUCCCCAAGCGAACCUUCAUCCUUGCCGACUACAAGCAGAAGACUAACUUAAGCAUUCAAAAACUUAAAAACUGAAUUAAGUUCAAUAAACUCAACUUUAAAAUAAUCUAAACAAUACUCAAUAGUUAACUCAGAGAUUGUAAAAACAACUCAAAGAAGAUACAUACUGAAAACUACUCAACUUUAUCUAUCUAUGAAGCCUCUACUAUUAUAGAAGGAUAUCGGGACAAGACCCACAACAUCUCAAAACUACUAACUGUAAGAUAAAGGUAAAGUUCUUCGAAAUAUAAGAAGGCUCACCAAAGCUGAUUGGAACAUCCCAUGACCUCAACGAAACGCCUGCUGAUGAUCCUGAAUAUCUGUAUCUGCAUCAUGAAACGAUGCAGGCUAAAUGGCUAAGUACAUGGAAUAUAUGAGCAUGUAAGGGGAAUUCUAAAGCAUAAACAUAAGCUUGAAUUGGUGGAAAAGAAACAUACUUACCUCUUCUCAACUCAACUCAAAGAAACAUAAUUCAACUCAACUCAGAGAAAAUAGGGCUCAACUCAAUAAUAAGAUACUCAACUCAGUGAAAUAAGGCUUAACUCAAUAAUAAGAUACUCAACUCUGGAUACUCAACUUAAUAUAAAGCAACAAUACAGAUGCAAUAUAUGGAAAACUUUUAAAACAGUAGAAAGCAACUCAAUGUAUUGAAAAAUACAAUAGUAACUCAGUUUGUAUGCAAGGAUACAAGAUAAACUCUGCUUGUAUAUAAAAAUACAAAGUAAACUCUGUGUAUAUAAGAAUACAAAAAUAUCUCUAUGGAAGUUUCUCUAAUCGACAACCAUCACUAUGAAUUAUAUGAUGAUACAACGUCAAACCCACGCUUCCAGAGCCAUCCUAUACUUUGCCUGGGUAUAGAACCUACUACUAAGUGGAUCACUAGUCUAUGCUAAAAGCAUUAAGGAAUCAUCUAAAAAGUAUGACCCUUUCUACCCACAUUGGCUACAUGGUUUAUGAGGGUUGUGAGUUGUAUGAUCUCUCCCCCAUAUUGGUGCUCAAUACUACUCCCGAAAUAUACUUAGCUCAUUAUGUUUCAAAGAAAACAUUUCUNNNNNNNNNNNNNNNNNNNNNNNNNNNNNNNNNNNNNNNNNNNNNNNNNNNNNNNNNNNNNNNNNNNNNNNNNNNNNNNNNNNNNNNNNNNNNNNCUCAAAACUCUUUUGGAAAUCUCAGUUUCCUCUCAUCGUAAAUUUAAAAACAUUUACUCUUGGGAAUACUUAGUUCUCAUAUAUCAUUUUAAAGAAAAUGAACUCAGCUCUACUCUUCCUCAACUCAAUGCUCAAGUUUUUAAAACAAGUUUUAAAACAAUUUGUAAAAAGACUUUUUAAAAUAGGUUCAUGCCGAAUAUGGACGUGAACGACUCAAUUCAAGGUUUUCAAUAACCAUGCAUCGAAUUCAAUACUUCNNNNNNNNNNNNNNNNNNNNNNNNNNNNNNNNNNNNNNNNNNNNNNNNNNNNNNNNNNNNNNNNNNNNGGGUUCAUGCGGAAUUAUGGGCAUGAACAACUCAACUCAAAGACUUCAUGAGUAACAUAUAAUAGUAUCAUGAUUAGAUAUAUAAUCUCAAAAGGGUUAGGAACUCAAUACUCAAGACUUAGGAACUUGAAGAUACUACUCUUCUCAAGGAUACUCAACUUAUAGAGUUCAUGCGGAAUUUAUGGCAUGAACGACUCGACUCAAGGGUCUACAUAACAAUAUGGAACUCAUGUAUAUGACUGUUCUCAUUCUCAUACUUGCUUCCUUAAAACAUAGCUCAAAUCGAUAGUUGAUCUCAAAUGAUUCAUAAUUGAACUCAAAGACUUUCUUGAAUUCUACUCUUAACUCUCUCUCUUGAAUUUGAAUUAUGGAUUCAAGGAGUUUAUGAUUAAUGAUAUGAAGGAUCUCGUGAUGAUAAUGUAGACUCAUGAAUACAUUCUCCUCAUUCACAUACUCACUUACUCGAGUACUUGAAAACAAAAUUAAUUAGAAAUUGUAGAAGACUCUUCAAAAAGACUCAAAGGGACUUUCUCAAAAUACUCGAAAGAACUCUCAAGACAUGACUCUUAACUCUACCUUGAAUUUGAAUUAUGGAUUCAAGGGUUAUGAUUUGUGGUAUGAAGGAUAUCGUGAUGAUUAAAUGAGUUUUAGAUAGUUAAUAAGAAGAAAUGGUCAAAAAAACAUUAUAUGGGAGCAAGUAUGCGACGGAAAGAUUAAUUAUAAUAUUUGAUCACGAAAUAAUUUUUAAAACAUUGGAUUCCGCUUUCUCUCUGAGACGCGGAGAGGAAAAUUUCACUCUGAAGGAACAGGUUCGCGACGCGGACCUGGUACCUUAUUUUUUGCCUGAUCUUUUCUUACUCAUUUUCUAACCUCGAUUUGCCUAGAAUUGAAUGGUUUCUUUUCCAAGCACUUAGAUUCGAAUACUUAACUUAUGUACAUGAUAAUCUACUCCAAACCACCCUCAAUUCACUAACUUUAAUCUCAAGAAUUCAUUAAAAACAUCCUAAUUCAAGAACGGAAACAAUACUUUCAAGAAACAAAUCAAGAACUCAAAUUUUUUCAACUUCAAGAACGAAACUUCGUUGAAAAUAACAUGAUUGACGUAUGGGUGAACAAACCCAACACUAUGAAAAACUGACAUACCUCUUAGGGAUUAGACCCAUGGCGAAAAUCCGCAACAAAACUCAAGAAUCUCGACGAACAGUUUGAUCCUUUCCUCUUUUCUCUUAUUUUCUCUUCUCGAACUCUCAACUAAAACCCUAAGCAUAGAUUAGGAUUAUAAAACUGAACUAAACCAGUUUACACUUCUAAAACCUUACUAAGAAUGAAUUAAAUCUAAUUGGGUAAGGAAAAUACCAAAAUACCCCUCACUAUUUAUGGGUAACUUUCCUUAACUGGACAGUCUGACUUCAAAAGGGCAUAUCUCACUCAUCCGAGCUCGAAAGUUAGCAAACUCGGUGGUGUUGGUAAGAUAAUUCAAAGAACUUUCUUUUUAUAGUUUAUGGGUCACCUAACAAAUCGCGUACUGAAAGUUAUGGUCGUUUGAAGUUGACCCUAAACUUAAGUAACUUACGAAUAACUUGAACGAAUUCUCUUUAGUUGUUUUUAGAACUCAAUGUGCAACACAAGUAAACUUAACACUCAAGAAAUUUUAAAUUUCUCGGUAAAAUCUUACUCACCACAAAGGAUGGUUCGAGUCUUAGUUCAAAAAAUUUCUGGAAUGUUACACUAACGAUAGCCAUACAAUAUCACAUCUAUAUGCUAAUAAUAUUUUGCCUUAAUUAUCAAACCAACAUCUACGUAUAUCAGCAUAAAAAAAAUGGUUAAGGAUUUCUCCGUACCUGGAGGCCUUCUUUUCUUUGUUUCUCUUCGUGCACCUGUGUCGUUUGCACAAGUGUGGUUCUUUUCUUGCUUUUAAUUCUUUAUGGAAAAUAAUUAUGGACUACUAAAUAAAUAAAUAUUAAUUCCUAAUAAUUUCUUCAUAUACAUGGCCAUGUGGUAAGGGUAUUAAAUAAAUUAUGGAUUUGGCCCAAUAACCACCAAUUAAUAAAAAUUAAUUAUUUAAUAAAUAUACGUCGACUAAAUAACCACAGUUAAACUAAUCGUUUAAGAUUCUCAUUUAAAUUUUAUGAAAAGGUUCUUUUAUGAAAGAAAUAGAUCUAGUACUCAAACAGACUAAUGGAUCGUUACAUAAUUCACCACUAAAAACUAUGUCCGUCCUCGAGCAUAAAGAAGGAGAAGGAAGAAUAACUAACUUUACCAAAAGUCUGGCUUAUGAUCUUCCAAUCGGUGUUCAUCUCUCAAAGUGAGCUCCUCCUUAAGACCAUUCCAUCAAGAUUAACUACAAAGAAACAAAUGAUUAUCAGGCCACAUACUAACCCAUAAAGUCAAUCUAAACUGAAACCCACCCACUGGACCAUAACACAACCAUCAUAAUGAAUUUUUUUUCUCAUAUAACCAAGAUAACGUUCUGAAUCAAUAUUGGCUACAACUAGUAGUGAACGUGAACCAAUCACUACACACUCAUAAUGCACAAACCAUCACAGAUAUUAUCAAGAUUUCCUUUCCAUAACACAAUCUUUUCACGAGUUUAAGUUAUAAAAAUCUAAUCUUUAGAUAUCGGAUACUCAUCAAGGGAGAAUCAAUUUUUAUCUAACCCAAAGAAGAAAAUGAUUAAGUAAACACCCAACAAGCGAUACACUUCAAAAUUCAGAACCUCUAACAACACUCCUAGACAAUUGUAACUCAUUAUAGCUCUUAUAUAAGUUCUCAUAAGCGACGUUGUGCGUGUAAACUACUGGUAUACUUUAACUAUCCCAAACAACACCAAAUCUACCAUAAUUGAAAUAACCAAGUCUUUCCAAGGAUCCUACCCUAUCAAGAGGACAUAAGAGGAUCGGUACAUCCGAUCCACCACUAGGGAUUCACCCAUAAAUGUAGAAACACACGUGGACAUAUGCAAUGAAUCAUACUGCAAAUCAUGUCAGAAACGAAGUAGGUGAUCACAAAAGAAUGUACGGAACCAAGGUCAAAUAACACAAGAUACUCUUUUCAUAGUGUCCAUACCAAAUAUUUUCACUCAUUUGACUCCAUCUCUUUGAUUUUUAGCUACCCACAAUCCACCAGUCUUGUCCCCAAUACGAUCCUACUCAUACUCAAUGUAUCAUACCUCACAUACUUCUCAUAUUACUCCACUGAAGUCAACCAUCUUAAUACUAACAAAACAUCAUAACCACACUAGUCAUUUACCUUACUCUCAAACUUUCACUAGUAUCAAAGUCUUUUAAGCAACACAUUGUCGCCUUCAAAAAUUAUGAACCAUGGCUCCCUUUAUUUUCAUUUAAGCAUUCCAUGACAGAUAGGAGUCACACUUAAGACUGAUAGAACUAAUUCAAAAUCUAAAAGUAAUUUUCCAUCGAGGUAUAACAAUUGAAUCAUACCCAAAGUCAACUUCACACAAACUUUCACAUACAAUAUUUCAACUACUAUUCCAAACCAUCACAUAACUCAUUCUAAAACUCAUAGAAAUCCUUGGUCACUCAAAUAAUUAUGUAUAUUAUAAUCUCAUAACAUUUAUUUACCAUCCAAUGUCUAUGCAAUGCAUCACAAUAGUUUGUGUAGUCUCAUCAAUAGGGUAGUAUCAAUCUAACUCGAAAUCCUUAAUAAUCAUGUAGAAUUGUAUCAUAUCAUAUAGUGCAUCCACAAGUCAAUUAUAACACCCUGGAUCCAGAAAAGGGCAAAGCAACAGUUUUCAGGAAGUUGUAGGUGCCAAUUGAUGAUGGUCGACCACGGACCGUAGGUGUGGUAUGUGGUUGGUGUUGACAUCCUUCGAAAGGGCACAACGUCGCGAUGACUCACCAAAAAAUAAUAAACAAUUUAAAGAAUGAAAGAAUUUUAAAAAGGGUAAAGGGGUUUAGAGAGAGUCGCUACCUAAUUUUAGGAAAACUAGGAAACCAAUUAACUAACUUAAUAAAAAUGUCUACGAAACCAAAGAUUCUAGGUAAGGGAUUCAAGUUAUUCCGAAGGAAAGGUGUUAGGCAUCCUUCGAAAUCCACAAUUGUGGGUCCUGACUGAAUUCAUUUUUUCAAAUUGAGGAGGAGAUAAAAACAAAUAUACAAGUAUAAUAAGCAAGUGAUUUACACAAGUAAUAAAAUGAAACAAUAAUAUAAGAAACGGCCUAAAGCUUGACUAACAUCGAUAUAUACAAAAUAAUGAAUAAAGAAUAUAAUUCGAAUUUCAUUCGAAUAGCUUUAAUGGGAAGCAACUCUGUGUACAUGUAAAGACACAUAGUAAAAAUAUUAGUAAUAAAUAAACAUGAAUAAAAAUAAAUGAUCAAAGCAUAACUUAAAAGUAAAAACCCGUCUUAUUAACAUGGAAAGCCUUGAAAAUCAACGAUAAUUUCUUCAUCGACCAUUUUAACAAACAAAAUAUGAACAUAAACCAAAUUUCCGUCUUUUAACAUUGGAAAAACCUCCAAAAUCGAUAGAGAGAUUUUUCAUUGGUCAUUGUACAUACAACACAACACAAUAAACAAUAAUAGCAACAAAAUCUUAUAAUAUAGUAACUAAAUAUAAACCAACAAUAUAUGAACAGUAACAAAAUAUAAAAUUCAUUGGAACAAAUUUCCACACCAAAUCAUUAAACAAAGAAUAUGUAACAUUAUAAUGAUAAAAAAUAACGACAAAACAAUAGAUAACAUUCCAAAAAUAAUAAAGAAAUAACCAAAAUCCAAAUCACUGCAUAGCUCAUUUUAUAGUAUUAAAAAAACGUUAAUAAGAUAAUAAAUAAAAUUCAAGACUUGAGCAAAAGCAGAUAAAAAGCAAACUAAAAAUCAAAAUCAACAAAUUACAAUGUAAAAGAAGAAAUAAAAUAAUGAGAUAUUUAAAAUAACAAAAACAUAAACAACAACAAUAAAGUAUCUAAACUAACAAAUUUUAUCUUUGGACCAAAUCAUAAGAUAAUAGCACAUAACAAUAGCUGUAGCAACAUAAUUAAGGCAACAUAUCACGGAGAUAAAUAAAUCAAAAAAAUUGGCUAAAUAAAGCCAAGACACCCUGGAGAAGAUGAGAUUAACAAAAAAAUACCACUUAACACAGUAAAAAAAAAAAAAACUAUUCAACUCAACAAAAGCAUAACCAGCAUACAAGUCAAUAAUGAUUAAGAAUAAAGAGCAAAACAAAUCCAAGUAUUAAUUAAUAUUUAGAACAAAAUCAGACUGAGAGGGAACCUAACUGACGGAGUUCUCUUUGAGUCUCCAGAGUUUGCGUUGCGGCGGCGUGUGGUGCUCAUCGGUGGUGUUUGUUUAUUGCUCUGAUGGAGCUGAUUCGUCCCGCCUUUGAUGGGAGCUGUGGAUUUAUUGUUGUUGGCGACUAUUCGCCAG
rnacentral:lncRNA from 1 species